CUACGGGAGGCUGCAGCAGGGAAUAUUGCACAAUGGACGGAAGUCUGAUGCAGCGACGCCGCGUGGAUGAUGAAGGCCCUCGGGUUGUAAAAUCCUUUUCAGGGGGACGAGGAAGGACGGUACCCUUGGAAUAAGCGUCGGCUAACUACGUGCCAGCAGCCGCGGUAAGACGUAGGACGCAAGCGUUAUCCGGAUUUACUGGGCGUAAAGCGUCUGUAGGCGGAAUGGUAAGUUGGGCGUGAAAGCUCCGGGCUCAACCCGGAGAGGUCGUUCAAUACUGCCAAACUAGAGGGCAUCAGAGGAGCGUGGAAUUUCCGGUGUAGCGGUAAAAUGCGCAGAUAUCGGAAGGAACACCAAUGGCGAAGGCAGCGCUCUGGGAUGAACCCGACGCUAAGAGACGAAAGCUAGGGGAGCGAACAGGAUUAGAUACCCCCGUAGUC
rnacentral:rRNA from 1 species